GUGCUCUCUUUGGCAGCAUAUAUAUUAAAAUUGGAAUGCUACAGAGAUUAGCAUGACCCCUGCGCAAGGAUGACACACAAAUUUGUGAAGCGUUCCAUAUUUGA
ensembl:snRNA U6 U6 spliceosomal RNA